UUCAGUCUGGACCGGCAGGUGUGCGGCCAAAGGAAACCGAGGAGGGACUCCCCGAGAGAGGGGGCCCUCCUGCCGCAUGCCACCCAUUGCCGGACGCCCGCCAGACGCACUUGACUCUCGUCCUAAGGACGCUGCAGCCGGCUGGGUUGUGCAGACAAGGCGGCCUGAGGGUCGGGCGACGGAAGUUGGCCGUUGGCGCACGCGGUAUUCCGCCGCGACCUCGCCUCGACGGCUGCUAGCCUGUCCCGUCAGUGGUCGCCACCCGGCCGAGGUGUCACCAGGCCCCAGUGGCCUCGCCGCCUUCGCCUCUCUGAGCGCGGGAUUGGACACCGCAGGCGUGAGUUACGAGGGACCUUCCGCACCCCCGCAGGGGUGGCCUGGCCUUUGUUCUCCGCCGCUGGUGGGACCGAACCCGUCGGAGGCUGGUGGCUUGCAGCGAGUAGGUCGGUCACCCACCCGACCCGUCUUGAAACACGGACCAAGGAGUCUAACAUGUGCGCGAGUCAAUGGGUCUUGUUCAGGCCCAAGGGCGGAAUGAAAGUAUUUGGGUCGGCGCGCCCAGCGUCGGCCCGCCUGUUGGGAUCCCUGGCCCCUGUGGCCGGGGCGCACCAACGACCCGUCCCGUCCGGUCCGCCGGUGGGGCGGAGUCUGAGCGUACACGUUGGUACCCGAAAGAUGGUGAACUAUGCCCGGGCAGGUCGAGGUCAGAGGAAACUCUGGUGGAGGACCG
rnacentral:rRNA from 1 species